rnacentral:rRNA from 1 species
AUGCAUGAUGAACGGUGAUCUCGGAUCUAGAUCCGGGUGAUCAGUGGCGAACGGGUGAGUAACACGUGAGUAACCUGCCCCUUACUCUGGGAUAACCCCGGGAAACCGGAGCUAAUACCGGAUACGACCCGAGCGGGCAUCCGCAUCGGGUGGAAAGUUUUUCGGUAAGGGAUGGACUCGCGGCCUAUCAGCUUGUUGGUGGGGUAAUGGCCUACCAAGGCGACGACGGGUAGCCGGCCUGAGAGGGCGACCGGCCACACUGGGACUGAGACACGGCCCAGACUCCUACGGGAGGCAGCAGUGGGGAAUAUUGCACAAUGGGCGAAAGCCUGAUGCAGCGACGCCGCGUGAGGGAUGACGGCCUUCGGGUUGUAAACCUCUUUCAGCUCUGAAGAAGCGAAAGUGACGGUAGGAGCAGAAGAAGCACCGGCUAACUACGUGCCAGCAGCCGCGGUAAU